rnacentral:rRNA from 1 species
UACGUAGGGGGCAAGCGUUGUCCGGAUUUAUUGGGCGUAAAGAGCUCGUAGGUGGUUCGGUAAGUCGGAUGUGAAAUCUCCAGGCUCAACCUGGAGGGGUCAUUCGAUACUGCCGUGACUAGAGUUCGGUAGGGGAGUGUGGAAUUCCUGGUGGAGCGGUGAAAUGCGCAGAGUAUCAGGAGGAACACCCGUAGCGAAGGCGGCACUCUGGGCCGAUACUGACACUGAGGAGCGAAAGCGUGGGGAGCGAACAGG